UUCCCUUCCUUCCUUCCUUCCUUCCUUCCUUCCUUCCUUCCUUCCUUCCUUCCUGUAAUGACACACUUCUGGGAACAGACAGCAGAAAGAAGUCUUUGAAGACGCUCCCUGAACAGUGGCACCUUGGGGCACACCCUUCCUCCCUUUCGUGGCUUGGACACUAGGGACGACAGGCUGAGGUGGCUGGAAAGAUGAGCAAAAUCACAGUGGUAGUUACAGACCAUUUUGUGAGUCCAUAUGUUGUCUUUUUAGGAAUUUCCAGAAAGGAGUGGAAGACGCUUCAGAGAAAAACGGGAGCGAUGGGGGAGGCGCUGAAGUGCAGCCAACCACCUUCCCUUUGAGAAAUCUAUAUAUUUAUACAAGAACUGGGAACAACUGAUGUGUUAAGCCUAAAAGCAGGUGCAUCAGGACUAACUUCUAGGAUCGACAACGAUUUCUUCACUCUUUAAAUUUUUUCAAGAAUGUAAAACUUCUCAGAGGUAAAAUCUGCAAGAACACACAUGGGCAGUCUGGAAUGUUUGGGGAGCAGCUACACAGCUGUGUGGCCACAGUCCACAACAGGACAGAUCGUCUGCAUCACCCUGCGAGGUCUCUCCUCUGCUCCGGAUACUCUGGGCCCAGACAGCCGCUGUUCUGACGUAUGGAGCUGCCACUGCAGGCUUUAGAGCCUCAUACAGAUGAACUCUUUGGCAACUGGCUUCUUGUACCAGUGAUGCUUUUUGGAUCCAGUAGUGGCACACUGACAGUCAGUAGCUCAUAUCCUUGCUGAGUUUACAUCGUUUUUAUAUUCCUCCCUAGAGAUGAAUGUGGCUUAUCUGUUUGCUCUUUGGUGGGCUUUAGGCUGUUUUCAUUUUCUUUCAUUUUAAAUUGAUCUUAAGGUACCUGGGAGCCGUGUUGUUGUUAAUGGUGGGAAUCCUUCCCUCCCACUGCACUUCUGUUUUUAAACAUCUUGAGGUUUUUGUGAAAUUGAAUCCGUUGCUACAGAGUAUUCCGACAGCUGGGCUCUCCUUGCUGGAAAGAGAUGACUGGCUUUUUAAGGGGUGAGAUCCUUGUUUGGUGUGGCAUCCCUGGUAGGGAGGGGCAGCUAAAGUAAGUCAGAGUCCAGGGAACAAAGCUGGCACAGCCACCUGAUGGCUGACUGCCAAAACCACCUUUCCAGAUAUGCCACUUCAGCAGGCUCUGGUGAGUAACUCCACUCCUGGAACAAUGGCUGUCUGUAUGUAAAAGGCCAGAAUAUGAACUGGGCUCUCGAUGUCUGCCAUGUUCACAACUGAUGAGUCAACUGGAGUUGAGUGGGGAUCUCAGUAGGAGAUUAGGUCAGACACAUAAAGUCUCAAACAAAACCGAACAGUGAGAGUGUCUCCAACUGAUCUGGUGAGCGAGAGAGGAUGACGGAGCUCCCAUAGGAAGAAGGUGAAGGGGGACAGUCAUCAACUGGUCCAGCAUGGAGAAUGGAACACAAUAAAAAAAUAUAGCCACUUGGCAUUAGAUUCUCAAA